rnacentral:lncRNA from 1 species
AAAAGCCAAGAUGACAAAGAAAGGAGCCGACCUUUUUUGUCGUGAACACAAUCACACGUCAACAGUAGGUGCAACAAUCAUCUUCAUCAUCAUCAUCCUGAUGAAGAAAAUGGCGGUUUCACUGCAUUCCACGAAGCUUCCUUUCUAUGUAAUAAGUGGGAUUAUGUCUUCUUCUUCUUUUCCCGUUUCAAAUAUGUUCUGAUUUUAGCAAAAUGUAAUCAAGAGAAGUUACCUCUCUUCUGCAUGUAGUUAUAAGAAAUCUGAACCAGACUGGAUCCCCUACACUAAGCUCCACAGAAGUCAUGGAAAGCAACCAAUGGGAACGUAGAAGUUUAGCUGAGAAAAGUUCCAAUGUUCACAAGAAUUCAAAACAUAAAUAAUCAUUUCCUGAGAGAGUUGAAGAGGCAAAGAUUUAAGUAUAUAUCUUCAAACAAUGCUCGUUUCUAACUCUCACUUGCUAAUACAUUCAAUAUAUAAGUAACAAAGACAACAAAUAGGAGUAAGCUCACAGUUUGGUCAGUAGAGUAUAAAAUCCAUGGUGUUGAUAAUUUGAUAUGAAGGCCUACCGUGAAAACUCGUUGCUGAGGGUUAGUUUCCAAUUGACCAAAAUAUCUCUACUCUACAUUCCUUCUGGCAACUCCACAACGGUAUAGGUUCAGUCUUUGCUUUCUGAAUCCAGAUAUCCUCAAAAACCGAGUAAAACCUCGAUAUCAUAGACUCAGCCUCGUGUGAAGCCAUAUGAUACACAGUAAAAAAUACAAAAACUCACAUAAGAGCUAAAUGAACCAAGCAAGUUCAGUGAAAUUUUGUGAGACAUCGUAUUUUUUCACUUCCGUAUCUCUAUUUCAACAUCCAAAUCGAAGUCCUCCUUGAGGAUAUCUUUCGGAGUCAUUCCAAAUCCAUCAGCAAUCUUUUCCAUUCUCUUCAGUCUCUUUACUUCUCGUUUUAUUUGGUCCACUCUGUUUGAUACGGCAUUUUGUCCCGUUGAUGGUGCUUGAUGUCUGAGUUCAGUUUGCUCCUUUUCAAGUUGCUGAAAGAGGUUAUGUAGAUAAUUUUUAUGUAAUAGAAGCUUUUCUUCUGCUAAAUUAUACUCGAACUCCUGUGAUCUUUUCAGUCCAUGCAAAACCUGAUCAAUUUCGUCUUCAAGUUUUAAGGACUCGAUCCAAUGAUCAAAAGGGGUGGACAUAGUCCAUUCUGAGCUUAUAAGGGAGUCUGAAGUUUCAUGAGAACUUUCUGUAGAAUCAGCAGUAUCAGGUGCAUCUGUGCAUAAAAUACAAAAUCAUUUCUUUCACAAAAUACAAAAUCAUCUCUUUUUCUUGUUUUGAGAGUAUACUUAUCAUUCUUUUAACGAGCAAGAGUAUGAAAAAUCGAUGGUCUAAAUGGCUGUUGAACAUACUAAAUAUUUGGCUGGUUAUACAACUAACCACUUAGAGACAUUGUUCCUAAGACAGAUUUGUUCGAGUAUGUAGAAUCAGACCCUAUAUUCAAAUGAUGAAAUCUUUCUCCAUAGUUAUCAAUGAUGGGACUUGACGAAAAAAUAAUUACCAGUGCAAUUAGCUGAGACCCUAAUGGAUGGUAUUACAAUUUCUCAUGCUUAUACGGUUGUGAGAACUUAUCCAUGCUAUUGGAUUUGAAGAAAAAUUACCAGUGCAAUUUGCUGAGCUAUCUUCCUCCAUCUUCCAAAUCUUUUCCAAGCAAGUCCCAGUUUUAAUCUGAAGCAAGCAUUCAAAGUCAAAUAGUAUGGAAAAGUCCCAGAGCAGCAUAGGAUAUUGCAAUAUUUAGUAUUUGUAGAAAAUACCAGUUUUACCUUCUCAAUGCUCAGUUCAAUGUGUCUUAACAACUCCUUUGCUCUCAUUUUGUGCGAACCACGCAAAAUACAUAAACCAAGGUUUAAGAUCUCCUCAACAUCAUCUUGGCAGUCAGCUGAUUGGCAUGACUGCAAAAAUCUUUCUACAUGUGAUACCAAAUCCGUUCUGGCAUCACAACGUCGACAAUAAUACUCAGCAUCCAGUCCAAUGCUUCCUCCAACUGUCCCAGCUGUAUACGAUUUAAGACCACAUUUUAUAUGAGAAAGAUGUCCACAAAUAUAUCCAUCACCCACCACUGCUUUACAUUUUAUGUAGCUAUAACUUUCCACGGUCGUGUCUAUAAUCUUGCAGCAAAGUAUACAGCAGCAAUCACGGCAAAAGCGAGAUUCACUGCAGCAAAUACCACAAGACAUGGAUUUGGAUGAAGAUGGAUUUUCAGAAACAGAUAAACUAUAACAGUUCUUAUUUCCAGCCUUGCAACCCACUUUAUCAUUCUGGG